rnacentral:rRNA from 1 species
AGAGUUUGAUCCUGGNUCAGNCCCCUNUANAAGGGNGGCAGGCCUAAAACAUGCAAGUCGAGCGCNNUAGNAAUACAGAGCGGCGCACGGGUGAGUAACACGUGGGAACGUGCCUUUUGGUUCGGAACAACUCAGGGAAACUUGAGCUAAUACCGGAUGUGCCCUUCGGGGGAAAGAUUUAUCGCCAUUAGAGCGGCCCGCGUCUGAUUAGCUUGUUGGUGAGGUAAAGGCUCACCAAGGCUACGAUCAGUAGCUGGUCUGAGAGGAUGAUCAGCCACAUUGGGACUGAGACACAGCCCAAACUCCUACGGGAGGCAGCAGUGGGGAAUCUUGCGCAAUGGGGGCAACCCUGACGCAGCCAUGCCGCGUGAAUGAUGAAGGUCUUAGGAUUGUAAAAUUCUUUCAGCAGGGACGAUAAUGACGGUACCUGCAGAAGAAGCCCCGGCUAACUUCGUGCCAGCAGCCGCGGUAAUACGAAGGGGGCUAGCGUUGCUCGGAAUUACUGGGCGUAAAGGGCGCGUAGGCGGGUCGUUUAGUUAGAGGUGAAAGCCCAGGGCUCAACCCUGGAAUUGCCUUUAAUACUGGCGGCCUUGAGUAUGAGAGAGGUGUGUGGAACUCCGAGUGUAGAGGUGAAAUUCGUAGAUAUUCGGAAGAACACCAGUGGCGAAGGCGACACACUGGCUCAUUACUGACGCUGAGGCGCGAAAGC